rnacentral:piRNA from 1 species
UAGAAUUGAGUUGUCUAUCUACAUUUGAAA